GCGCUCGUGGUUUAACGGCAGAAUGAGGCCUUGCCAAGGCUUAGACCCGGGUUCAAUUCCCGGCGAGCGCA
rnacentral:tRNA from 1 species